rnacentral:lncRNA from 1 species
AUGUAUGCACCCCACCGCUCACCGCACUCCUUCACGGUGCAGCCGAGUCCGCCUCAGGAGCUGCACCCUUCUGGUUUCCUGCCGGCUGGCCCAAGGCCCCUGGGCUUGCUCUCUCCCAGCUCUCCCCUCUUUACCCAGCUUCGAGGGUGUCAUCUGUCGACUUUGAAGUGGAGAAGAACGGAGAUGGACGGAAGGCAGGAAAGAGGCGUGCUCCUUACACCUUCCUGCACUUCUUCUUUCUCUUAUGCCUGGAUAAGCAGUGCCGUCCACAGCUGAGGAGGCCGGAGUCUUUGCUCUGUUUUCUGGAGUGGUUGGAGGGUGGGAGGCCACUCAGGGUACAAGUGAACGCGAGGUGUGGGGGCGUGUCCACUAACACAUGCGCAGCCCACCCGGCCUGGCGCUCAGCCUGCGCAUCGGUCAGGCUCUGCUCAGGCAGGAGCGCCAUGUGCAGGGUUCCCGAAGAGAAGUUUUGUUUGCACUAAAAAGGCAUCUGGGGCUGAGCACCUGCUUUGCAUGUACGAGAUCCCAAGUUCAAUCCCUGGUACCUAAAAAAAAAAUCUAUGGCUUAAGGAGGAGAGCAAUGGCCUUGACAGUGACCUGGCUGGAGAGCAGGCACUGCCUCUCCACUGUUAGCUGACCUUCAGGGCCCAGCUCUCUGAACCUUGGUCUUCCCACCUUCAAAUUAGGGAUAAGAAGCAUAACAAUGCCUUUUUCUCAAGGAUGCUAUGAAACAUUACCUGUUUCUGAAAGCAAUUUUGGUGUCUUUAAGGAGAACUAAAAUCUCAAGGAUUGUUUUCCCAAAUCCUCGACAUCCCUCAAACA